UUUAGGUCUCUUUCAAAGAAUUUGUGCACAUGGCCAUAAGACACGAAUUGUGACUGAAUAUUUCACCCUCAUGUAUCCUCUAGUAAUUUUUAAAAUUCGUCGAAAAAAUAAUUAAAUUUGUUUUAUCAGUUGUUCGUGCGUGCAAUCCAUAUAAAGUGCGUUUGUUAUUCGGCCGAAAUUUUCGAAAAUUUUGUGAAAAUCGUUGCGGAAAAUUUUUUUCUCUGCACUUCUACCACUACAACGACACGUUCGUUUGCCAAUAAAUAUAACAUAUAGUAGAGGAGACUGUAGGAAGGUGGACACGCAGUCACAAGAGUCGUCUUCGAUAUAUAGUAAAAAUCUACGAGUGUAUGCAUUUGUGAAACAUUUUCUGCAAAAAUUGUUGCAGUUAAAAGUGUCAUCGCAGAUUUAUCAUUUGAAUUGGGAAACACUAACCAGCCGGAGUUUGCUGUUACACAAAACGUGUGUCUUGUACGAACCAGACAAACGCCAUAUUAUAUUUUUUGCCACGAAACCUUAAAUUACGAAGUUGUGAACUACUCAGCCGCUGGCACGUUUGUCUUCACUGCCGAAACAACAUAAACAGCAAACAUGUCCGAAGAAACGUCCGCCGAUCGUAAUGUCGAGAUCUGGAAGAUCAAGAAAUUGAUCAAAAGUCUCGAAAUGGCUAGGGGGAACGGUACGAGCAUGAUCUCUUUAAUCAUACCACCAAAAGAUCAAAUAUCCCGCGUCAGCAAAAUGUUGGCCGAUGAAUUUGGUACCGCUUCCAACAUCAAGUCACGCGUCAAUCGUCUAUCCGUUCUCGGUGCAAUUACAUCUGUACAGCACAGACUAAAACUAUACACCAAAGUGCCUCCGAAUGGUCUAGUUAUUUAUUGCGGAACAAUUGUUACCGAAGAGGGCAAAGAGAAGAAAGUCAACAUCGAUUUCGAACCAUUUAAACCGAUCAAUACCUCGUUAUAUUUAUGCGAUAAUAAAUUUCACACAGAAGCACUGACAGCCCUGUUGGCUGACGACAAUAAAUUCGGUUUCAUUGUGAUGGACGGUAAUGGUGCACUGUUCGGUACAUUGCAGGGCAAUACACGUGAAGUUUUGCACAAGUUUACCGUUGAUUUGCCCAAAAAGCACGGCCGUGGUGGUCAGUCGGCUUUGCGUUUUGCCCGUUUGCGUAUGGAAAAACGGCACAACUACGUUCGUAAAGUGGCUGAAGUUGCAACACAACUCUAUAUCACCAACGAUAAGCCAAAUAUUGCUGGUCUCAUAUUGGCGGGUAGUGCCGAUUUCAAGACUGAACUGAGUCAGUCGGAUAUGUUCGAUCCGAGACUGCAAUCAAAAAUUAUCAAACUGGUCGACGUUUCGUACGGUGGAGAAAACGGUUUUAAUCAGGCUAUCGAAUUGGCAGCUGAAUCAUUGCAAAACGUAAAAUUCAUUCAGGAGAAAAAACUUAUUGGACGCUACUUUGAUGAAAUUUCACAGGAUACUGGAAAAUAUUGUUUUGGUGUUGAGGAUACUCUUAGAGCAUUAGAAUUAGGAUCAGUUGAAACAUUAAUCUGUUGGGAAAACUUAGACAUUCAGCGAUAUGUAUUAAAGAAUCAUGCAACCUCAAUAUCAACAACAGUAUUGCACUUAACACCAGAACAGGAAAAGGACAAAAGUCAUUUCACGGACAAAGAGAGCGGGGUCGAAAUGGAAUUAGUCGAAAAUCAACCGCUGUUGGAAUGGCUGGCGAACAAUUACAAAAGUUUUGGUGCUACUCUGGAAAUUAUCACCGAUAAAUCGCAGGAAGGAAGUCAAUUCGUACGAGGUUUCGGUGGCAUUGGAGGCAUUCUGCGCUACAAAGUCGACUUUCAGUCUCUCCAAGCGGAUGAGCCACUGGACGAUGUUGACUUAGAUGAUUACUAAUUUGAAUCGUGUAAAUAACAGCACCACGGCCCCCCGAGAUUUAUAAAAGAAAAUGAAUGAAAACCAAAAACCAAAUUCCAAAAUAUUUAGUCAUUUCAACCAAAUAAAACCACCACCAACAAAAAGCAAAUUUUUAAAACAAAAACCUAAAAACUUCAUCACUAACAUCUCAACUUUAUUUACAAAUUUACAAAUUAAAACAACUUCGCUAAAGGUAUUUUGCGUUAUAAGGUAGAUUUCCAAAGUAUGCAACUGGAUGAAUUGGACAACGAAUGCUUCGAUUUGGAUGAUUACUGAACAAAGCUCCUAUUCCAGUCUCAGUCAAUGGGGAAUUCAAUCAACAACAAAAAAGGGGAAAAAUCAACUGGACAUAAGAAACAAUUUUUUUCCUUUUUUUUCUUUGAAGAAAAUAAAAAAAUUUAAAAAAAACGAAAUCCAGAGAACAUUAAAUAAAAAAAGAUGAGAAAUUUUAGCUAGUUUAAUUUUGCAGGAUAAAUAAACAAAACAAGAAAAAUGGGAAAAUGUAAUAAAAAAAAUUAAAUUUUAAUAUCCAAAUAAACAAACAAAAGAGAUGAGCAGCGCAAGUAAUUUAACUACAUUAUACCUAAAACCUAAUAUCUAACUGAUAGAACUAUGAAUAAAAACUUUAUGAAAGGUUAAAAUAUGAAAACAAACGGAAGAAGAAGAAAAUUUAGUGAAAAUUUGAAAAGAAAACUUAAAAAUUUGUUGACAGUUUCCAGCGUUGAGAAAUGUAUUUUAUCGCGGAUCUUUGAUAAAAAAAAUAGAAUUUUAAAGAAAAGAAAAGAGAGAAAAAAUCAACAGAAAAAUACCUUAUACCGAUGAAGUGUGUGGCCGUUUCCUUUUUUUUCAAUAUAUAUAACUGAGACACAGAACUACUAGAACUUCUUAUUAUAAUAUCAACAGAAAACUGAUGAAAAAUUGUGAAUUUUCAUUUGAUUGUGUAUGUGCUUUUUGAAUUUUACGUGAGUGUUCUAUCGAUUAAAAGUUUCAGAGUUUUAUGUAUCCAAUUUCAUAUUAAUUUAAAAAAUGAAAAAUGAAAACCGAAAUUCGCAAAUCAACAAAAACCGAACGAAGACGAAAUUUUCAAAUUUUAUCUUGAAUCUGAUUUUAAAACGAAGACUGAUUACAAUUAGGUUCAUAAUAAAAAAUCCAUCUAAAAUAGAGACACAUUAAAUGGAAAAGGAUAUUUAAAGCUUUUACAACCAAACAACCAACAGAGAGAAAAAAUCGAAUCGAAUUGAAUUCAAUGAUUCGUAAUCGAGAGAGGGCGGAUAAUGGGAUGUUUGAGUGACAAAGAAAUUUAUUUAAAAAAAAAAAUCCUAAAAAAAUUUCCUUCAUUACUUAGGAAUGUCAGGGGAUUUUCUUUGUCGAGUUUUAAGAGUUUUCUUCAACUUUUGAAGGUUUUUUUUGACACUCUGAGAGUAUGACAAAAGCUGUGUCACACCUAUACGAAAAACCGAUAUUCAAACGGAGAAAUGUUCAUCGAAAAAACUCGACGAAGUGAGCAAAGGUGUCACACAAUUUUGAGUAGUCGGUGACUUCUCCAGAACUUUAGAAGAAUUUUAGGAUUUUUUUGUCCCAAAAAUUUUCCAAUUUUUUUUAAGGAUUUUUACCGAGUGACAGAUAUCCGCCCCUCAUUCGUAAUUAUGGCAUUUUUGCUUUGACGAAUUCUAUAUUUUUCGUCACCGUUCUUUCCGCCCAACGACAAUGAAUACGAAUUUCAUUGUCAGAUCUACGGAUUUUCUUUUGUUGUUCUAGACAUUCUUACCCCUUAGAGAGUUUUCCAAUAAAUAUUUUUCUCGUUUUUUUUCCAAUUUUGUUUUUACUCUUCAUAAAAAUUGAUAUUUAUAAUGUAUAAUGAGUGUGCGUGUGUGUGUGUGUCGUUUAUCUUUUUUGAUCAGUAGAUGGAUCAGGUGUAUUAUAUUAUAGAGAGAGA